GUAUUGAUUGCGGGUUAGCGCAUAAAUGAGGUCAUUCUACACUUUUUAAAAGGGGUGUUUGUGUGAAAACGCGAGCCUCCUCCGAGAUGAUCCCAAAGGGUGCCCACGCGGUGAUGCACAAAGGGUGAGAUGGAUUAUUAUGUGAGGAAACACACCCGGGCGUGCACGACAAAAAAGUCAGCGACAGCCCUUGCACCUCAGUUUUACGAUAAUGAUCCUUCCGCAGGUUCACCUACGGAAA
rnacentral:misc_RNA from 1 species